rnacentral:tmRNA from 1 species
GGGGAUGACAUGGUUUCGACGGGGAUUUGGAACAAGGAUAAGCAUGUCGAUGGGCAUACAUCGUAAAAAUAGCAAAUUAAAAUUAAACGCAGAAGAUAACUUCGCAUUAGCUGCCUAAGGCGGCCGGCUACUAAGUUGAACCCAUAACGGCUUAGCAGUCUCAAAUAUGUUGGGAAACCUGCAAAGCAAAGCUUUGAGUUUUGCACGGAUGAUAUGAAGCUACCAUUUAAUUGUAUUUGUUGAUUAAUUAGAUUAAUUGGGAAUAAAAUUUAAUCAAAUAAACAUGUAGAAGAUCCUUCGGAUGAGUUUUCGGACGUGGGUUCGACACCCACCAUCUCCACCA